rnacentral:pre_miRNA from 1 species
UAAUUAAUCUCAGGUAAAUUUUCAUCUAAUUGUGACAGACUCACACCUGACUACUCAAAACCACCCGUUAUUGCAUAUCUGACUGCAUCAUUCUUCCUGGGUUGGAGAGAACUCGUCUUCGAGUUAUGU